AAAAACCCAGGUGGUGUGAGAUGGAUCCGCGUCUGAUUAGCCAGUUGGCGGGGUAACGGCCCACCAAAGCGACGAUCAGUAGCCGACCUGAGAGGGUGACCGGCCACAUUGGGACUGAGACACGGCCCAAACUCCUACGGGAGGCAGCAGUGGGGAAUAUUGCACAAUGGGCGAAAGCCUGAUGCAGCGACGCCGCGUGAGUGAAGAAGUAUCUCGGUAUGUAAAGCUCUAUCAGCAGGGAAGAAAAUGACGGUACCUGACUAAGAAGCCCCGGCUAACUACGUGCCAGCAGCCGCGGUAAUACGUAGGGGGCAAGCGUUAUCCGGAUUUACUGGGUGUAAAGGGAGCGUAGACGGCGACGCAAGUCUGGAGUGAAAGCCCGGGGCCCAACCCCGGGACUGCUUUGGAAACUGUGCUGCUGGAGUGCAGGAGAGGUAAGUGGAAUUCCUAGUGUAGCGGUGAAAUGCGUAGAUAUUAGGAGGAACACCAGUGGCGAAGGCGGCUUACUGGACUGUAACUGACGUUGAGGCUCGAAAGCGUGGGGAGCAAACAGGAUUAGAUACCCUGGUAGUCCACGCCGUAA
rnacentral:rRNA from 1 species